UAAUAAGUGUUUUAUGGCACUUUUUAAAUCCAUAUCCACCUUGUGUGCAAUGUCAGUCGAUCUUCUUCAUGGAGAUCGACCAAACAUCAACCUUAUCUUUUAACUCUUUGUCUGAAAAAUAUUAUGAAUAAACAAUUCAAAACUA
rnacentral:misc_RNA from 1 species